UCCAUCUUUAUAACUUUUCUUCUGCCUCUUGGGUUUUACCCAAUACUUUCUGCUUGCAGUACAUUCUUCCCUUUACUCCUUUCCCCAUUUGCUUUCUUUCUUCACCCAGUCCCUCCCUUUCUCUUUUCCUUUACAGUUGUGAGUUACCACUAGGUCCACUACUAAACAUUGCUACCCCCUUCUCUCUCUCACUUAACAAAAUUUCUUCAUUUUCUUACACCAGACUUUCACUACACAGACACAUUAUAAGAAAACCCCACAUAUUAUUCUCACUACUUAUCUCCAAAACCUUUACAAAACCUCAAAAAGAUUCAAUCUUUACCACAUUUCAAGAAAACCCAACAUUUUGUUUUCACUGAUUAUCUCCAAAACCUCAAAAAGAUUCAAUCUUUACCACAUUUUAAGAAAACCCAACAUUUUGUUUUCACUGAUUAUCUCCAAAACCUCAUAAAGAUUCAAUCUUUACCACAUUUCAAGAAAACUCACUAUCUUGUUUUCACUGAUAAUCUGCAGAACCUCAAAAAGAUUCAAUUUUGAGCACAUAAGCCCAAUCUUUUCUUUGUGGGUAUUUCUCAAAAAUGUCUACAACACCAAUAGUAGAGCCACAACAACAAGCAGCACCUUUCUUGCCAACCCAACAAGCUUACACAUCACAUUCGGGUCAUGGGUCGGUAGGACCCGUAAUAGGAGUUCUUGCCAUAAUUAUCAUACUGGGUGCACUAGCUAUAAUGGUGGGUAGGCUUUGUUCGGGUCGGAGGAUAAUGGGUCAUGGGCAAUAUGAUUUUGAAAGCUGGGUUGAGACCAAAUGUGCUACUUGCCUUGAUGGUCGGGUCGACCCGGUUCCGACCCGGAUCGUAAUUCAGCAUCCGCCGGCGCCGGUGGAGACCGGUGAGAUGGAAAGAGGGGAAGAAAGGAGAGAGCAGGAGAGUGAGGAACAUGAACAUGAACAUGAACACGACACUACAAAUCAUCAUGACAGAAAUGAGUGUUGA
rnacentral:lncRNA from 1 species